rnacentral:rRNA from 1 species
AGUGGAUGGGGAGCAACCUAGUUGGGAGUGCGGAAAGGUAGUGCCAAGAAAAGCUGUCAGAAUGAUGAGAAUUGAGUCCCGGUACCCGAAACCGACACAGGUAGGCAAGUAGAGAAUACUAAGGGGCGCGAGGUAACUCUCUCCAAGGAACUCGGCAAAAUGACCCCGUAACUUAGGGAGAAGGGGUGCCACCGAGAGGUGGUCGCAGUGAAGAGGCCCAGGCGACUGUUUAGCAAAAACAUAGGUCUCUGCAAACUCGAAAGAGGAAGUAUAGGGGCUGACGCCUGCCCAGUGCCGGAAGGUUAAAGAAGUUGGUCAGGAGAAAUCUGAAGCUGGCGACUGAAGCCCCGGUGAACGGCGGCCGUAACUAUAACGGUCCUAAGGUAGCGAAAUUCCUUGUCGGGUAAGUUCCGACCCGCACGAAAGGCGUAACGAUCUGGGCGCUGUCUCGGAGAGAGGCUCGGCGAAAUAGGAUUGUCUGUGAAGAUACGGACUACCUGCAUUUGGACAGAAAGACCCUAUGAAGCUUUACUGUAGCUUGAAAUUGUGUUCGGGCUUCCUGUGCGCAGGAUAGGUGGGAGGCUAGGAAGGUCUGCUUGUGGGCAGAUUGGAGCCAACCGUGAGAUACCACUCUCAGGAGGCUAGAAUUCUAACUUAAUUAAGGACAGUUUCAGGUGGGCAGUUUGACUGGGGCGGUCGCCUCCAAAAAGGUAACGGAGGCGUACAAAGGUUCCCUCACACUGGUUGGAAAUCAGUGGCAGAGUGCAAAGGCAGAAGGGAGCUUGACUGCGAGACGGACAAGUCGAGCAGGGUGGAAACACGGUCUUAGUGAUCCGACGGUGCUGUGUGGAAGGGCCGUCGCUCAACGGAUAAAAGUUACUCUAGGAUAACAGGCUGAUCUCCCCCAAGAGUUCACAUCGACGGGGAGGUUUGGCACCUCGAUGUCGGCUCAUCGCAACCUGGGGCGGAAGUACGUCCCAAGGGUUGGGCUGUUCGCCCAUUAAAGCGGUACGUGAGCUGGGUUCAGAACGUCGUGAGACAGUCCGGUCCAUAUCCGAUGUAGGCGUGAGAAUAUUGAGAGGAGCCUUCCUUAGUACGAGAGGACCGGGAAGGACGCACCGCUGGUGUACCUGUUAUGAUGCCAAUCGUAAACGCAGGGUAGCCAAGUGCGGAGAGGAUAACCGCUGAAAGCAUCUAAGUGGGAAGCCCACCUCAAGAUGAGUAUUCUGGUGUAAGGUCACGGGGAGACGACCCGUAGAUAGGCACGAGGUGGAAGUGCAGAGAUGUAUGAAGCCGAAGUGUACUAAUAGACCGUCGGCUUGACC